UCUCCUGUAGCUCAUGUGGUAGAGCGUCCGACCGGUGUACGGAAGGUCAUAGGUUCGACUCCUGUUGGGGGAA